CAGCUGUCUCGUCAUCUGAAGAACUAUCACUUCAUAGAUCAGAAAAUAAGCUGCCUACUUACCUUGAACAUCUGGCGAAUUUGAAUCUGAGAGGAGUACCAGGGAGAGUCCUGCCAUGCAAGUGCCUGCUCCUACAAAUUGCCAAAAAGAAUAUCUUGUGCCUAGUGCAAACCUGGUGAGGAGCAUGACCCAGGGAAUAGUCCAACAGUCCAACAAGUUUAUGCUGGUGAUGUAUGAAUACUGGUAUGCCCUGAUAGCUGCAACACAAGUUCACAAUGAUUUGCAGCCAUAAUUUUCUUGUUUCACAUGAAGCUAUUGCCUACUGCCAAUCGGCAAUUCAAAGUUCAAACUGUUUCCUUUUCCAAUCUACUCACAAAGAAAGUUUCCCUGAACAUCGAUGAAGACAAGGGCUAGGUACCAAUACCAUGGUAUCUGCAAUACGUGUGAAAAGAUCAGAGAAUCGUUCCGUAGACCAGAGCUAACAACAUGUAUACGAGGAAUGAUUGUGCCAGUGGUGCGUCAACUCCUGAAAGUGAUGCCUGCAUUUAUCUCUAUUGAUAGAAGAAGCCUGCAUUUUAUCAAAUAACUAUGCAUACACUCGAUACAAAAAGAUGUUUGCAAUUUACCGAGAUUGCUGAUGACAGAGGUGGUAAAGCUGCUGAUGGCCAAGGAGAAGGAGACUAUCUGACCGAGGAAGAGCGAGAACAACAACCUCCAUGUAUCCCUCUUGACCUCCAUGAGCCUGAGCGCGAUCCAGGAAAGCCUCA